rnacentral:tRNA from 1 species
CAGAGAAUAGUUUAAGUAAAAUAAUAAUUUUGGAGAUUAUUGAUAGGGUGUUCCUUUUCUCUGA